AUACUAAGAAAUUAUAAAGAGUGAUGAUUGGUUUUCAUGCUCAUGUAUGAGAUGUGCCUUCCUCGAACCUUGUUAAAAUGUUGACACAUUACCCAUUUAAAG
ensembl:snoRNA